rnacentral:rRNA from 1 species
GACGAACCGUGCGAACGUUAUUCGGAAUCACUGGGCUUAAAGGGCGCGUAGGCGGGCCGCAUAGUCAGGGGUGAAAGCCUCCAGCUCAACUGGAGAAGUGCCUCUGAUACUGGCGGCCUCGAGGGGUGCAGGGGCGUGCGGAACUUAGGGUGGAGCGGUGAAAUGCGUAGAUAUCCUAAGGAACACCGGUGGCGAAGGCGGCACGCUGGACACCUUCUGACGCUGAGGCGCGAAAGCCAGGGGAGCAAACGGG